rnacentral:rRNA from 1 species
AUGAACGCUAGCUACAGGCUUAACACAUGCAAGUCGAGGGGCAGCAUGAACUUAGCUUGCUAAGUUUGAUGGCGACCGGCGCACGGGUGAGUAACACGUAUCCAACCUGCCGAUGACUCGGGGAUAGCCUUUCGAAAGAAAGAUUAAUACCCGAUGGCAUAGUUCUUCCGCAUGGUAGAACUAUUAAAGAAUUUCGGUCAUCGAUGGGGAUGCGUUCCAUUAGGUUGUUGGCGGGGUAACGGCCCACCAAGCCUUCGAUGGAUAGGGGUUCUGAGAGGAAGGUCCCCCACAUUGGAACUGAGACACGGUCCAAACUCCUACGGGAGGCAGCAGUGAGGAAUAUUGGUCAAUGGACGAGAGUCUGAACCAGCCAAGUAGCGUGAAGGAUGACUGCCCUAUGGGUUGUAAACUUCUUUUAUACGGGAAUAAAGUGAGGCACGUGUGCCUUUUUGUAUGUACCGUAUGAAUAAGGAUCGGCUAACUCCGUGCCAGCAGCCGCGGUAAUACGGAGGAUCCGAGCGUUAUCCGGAUUUAUUGGGUUUAAAGGGAGCGUAGGCGGACGCUUAAGUCAGUUGUGAAAGUUUGCGGCUCAACCGUAAAAUUGCAGUUGAUACUGGGUGUCUUGAGUACAGUAGAGGCAGGCGGAAUUCGUGGUGUAGCGGUGAAAUGCUUAGAUAUCACGAAGAACUCCGAUUGCGAAGGCAGCCUGCUGGACUGUAACUGACGCUGAUGCUCGAAAGUGUGGGUAUCAAACAGGAUUAGAUACCCUGGUAGUCCACACAGUAAACGAUGAAUACUCGCUGUUUGCGAUAUACAGUAAGCGGCCAAGCGAAAGCGUUAAGUAUUCCACCUGGGGAGUACGCCGGCAACGGUGAAACUCAAAGGAAUUGACGGGGGCCCGCACAAGCAGUGGAGUAUGUGGUUUAAUUCGAAGCAACGCGAAGAACCUUACCAGGUCUUGACAUCCUUUGACCACUCUAGAGAUAGAGCUUCCCCUUCGGGGGCAAAGUGACAGGUGGUGCAUGGUUGUCGUCAGCUCGUGCCGUGAGGUGUCGGCUUAAGUGCCAUAACGAGCGCAACCCUUAUCGAUAGUUACCAUCAGGUUAUGCUGGGGACUCUGUCGAGACUGCCGUCGUAAGAUGUGAGGAAGGUGGGGAUGACGUCAAAUCAGCACGGCCCUUACGUCCGGGGCUACACACGUGUUACAAUGGGGGGUACAGAAGGCAGCUACACGGCGACGUGAUGCUAAUCCCGAAAGCCUCUCUCAGUUCGGAUUGGAGUCUGCAACCCGACUCCAUGAAGCUGGAUUCGCUAGUAAUCGCGCAUCAGCCACGGCGCGGUGAAUACGUUCCCGGGCCUUGUACACACCGCCCGUCAAGCCAUGAAAGCCGGGGGUACCUGAAGUGCGUAACCGCAAGGAGCGCCCUAGGGUAAAACUGGUGAUUGGGGCU